GAUGAUGCCCAGCUUGCUGGGCGGAUUAGUGGCGAACGGGUGAGUAAUACGUGAGUAACCUGCCCUUGACUCUGGGAUAAGCCUGGGAAACUGGGUCUAAUACUGGAUACUACCUCUUACCGCAUGGUGGGUGGUGGAAAGGGUUUUACUGGUUUUGGAUGGGCUCACGGCCUAUCAGCUUGUUGGUGGGGUAAUGGCUCACCAAGGCGACGACGGGUAGCCGGCCUGAGAGGGUGACCGGCCACACUGGGACUGAGACACGGCCCAGACUCCUACGGGAGGCAGCAGUGGGGAAUAUUGCACAAUGGGCGGAAGCCUGAUGCAGCGACGCCGCGUGAGGGAUGACGGCCUUCGGGUUGUAAACCUCUUUCAGUAGGGAAGAAGCGAGAGUGACGGUACCUGCAGAAGAAGCGCCGGCUAACUACGUGCCAGCAGCCGCGGUAAUACGUAGGGCGCAAGCGUUGUCCGGAAUUAUUGGGCGUAAAGAGCUCGUAGGCGGUUUGUCGCGUCUGCUGUGAAAGCCCGGGGCUCAACCCCGGGUCUGCAGUGGGUACGGGCAGACUAGAGUGCAGUAGGGGAGACUGGAAUUCCUGGUGUAGCGGUGAAAUGCGCAGAUAUCA
rnacentral:rRNA from 1 species